UGUAAACAGCGGAUCCGGCUGCUGCUGUGGUUGCUAGAACUACACCUCCCAAUGUUGGACUUCCUGUUAUGCCAUCCAUGUAAGCUAGAAGAGCGAUUCCAGUAUUGCAUAGGAUGACUGCUACUAUCUACAAUGAAUUUCAAAACGUAUCUCUUAUCGUACUGACCCUAACUCCAACAAAUUGCUCGUGAAGGAUAACCCAGGACAGAAGAUAAACGCAGGAAACAUUCGUGGCGAAUAAUGCCAUCACGUCGGUAGCCAAAAGUAUCCUUAACGAGUAGAUGUACAUAUAAUUGGUAACAACCCAAAGUCCACAAAAGAGACUGCAUUUAACGAGGAAACGUCCACCGGUGAAACCCUUGUCUCGAAAUCCACGAAGACUUUCUGCUAAUAUUUCGGAUGGUGUCGUGCAUUUCGUUCUAACCGCACGACAGAUAAAGUAAACCGGAAAGUAUAAUACUUCCCAGUUGGUGCAGAACCAAGUUGUGAAGAAAGGAACUAAUUUAACUUCCGACACGAAAAUAAGAUAUCAAUUUAUAAAUGGAAAUAUAUCUAAUCUGGUGCAUUAUAUUCAAUUAUGUUUGGACAUAGGGGAGAUAUCGAAAUAGAAUAAGACAGAAUGUAUGAGAUGUGAAAGCGAAGUUGGUAAAAGCCUCUUGACAGUGACAAUAGAGUUUCUUAAAGAAUUGAAGCACCGUGUCUAAUUACAUGCUGA